UCUAUCAAAUCUAUUUGUAUAGCUCAUAUUCACAGAUCACAGUUUGUCUCAUAGGGCUUUAACAUGGUGAGACGUCCUCUGUCCUUCACCCUCAACAAGAGUCAGGACAAACUACUAAAAACCUUUAACAGGUACAAAUACACAGAAACCUCAGAGACACAUGUGAGGACCCGUCUCCCAGGACGGACACAAGUCAACAGAGGUCCAGUGAAGGAAACAUCAUCAGAUUAAAGUUGUUAGCAGCAUUGAUGAGGGGAAACAUUUUUUUUGACCUGUCCUCACUUUUUUAAACCUAAACUUGGUGUUAGGUUUAUGUUUAUCUUAAGGUCAGGGUUAGGGUUAUAUAUUAAUUGUGGAUGGUUAAGGUUAGUGUGAGGGGCAAGGAAAUGUUCUCACUAAGAUAGAGGUACAAACAAGUGUGUGUGUGAGCAACCCAGUCUCAUCAGAAAACGUUCAGUGGCAACGUUGGUCCACUUGGAACGACGUUACCAUCUCACAAUCUGGCCUCUCAGAGUGUGAGAUGGUAACAUUUUGUCAACCCAUUGUUUUGCGUUGGCGUGUUCUCACGUCACGUGACUCACAAGCUCCCGUCUGCGGAGAGGAAAACAUGGCGGAUAUUCCUUGUUUUUUCAGAUAAAAAUAUACUUUUGUAACUUAGUUUGGGCAUAAAAAUACAUUCUGACACCAUUUCUAGCGAGAAAUGUGCUCUUUGCUUCCAUAGUCUUCAGCCAGUUCGUGCUUAUGAUAAAUAUUUUAUUAGUUAUCACGAAUGUUUUUAUCGUUGCUAUGAGGGUUGCUAUGACGCUGCCAUGCGGAAGACCAGGCCACAGCGUGCUGUUAAAAUCACCGUCCCUGCGUGGCGUCGUUCAGUGAUCGUGAAUGUUAUUCACGUUAUAUAAUAUUAAUAUUUGAGGCUAGAUUACACCUCUAAUGCGAAGGAUCCUGCGAGACCGUUCAUCCCGAAGGGGGACCGACUGCGCCACGGACGGACGGGCGAGCGGAACUGACGUGUGGCUUUUAGUAAACAUCCGGUUCUUUAACUCGGGGCUGCGUAGUAACCACCGAGCGCUGGGAAGACAAACGAUGUCAUCUUCCUUCUGUCAGGAGGAUCCAAGUGAAGCUACAGGAGUUUCAUUAACGUCAAUAACUUGGACGAACACUUUGUUUUGCUUGAUGAAGAGCAGGAAGGGCAGCCUGGAGAGAAAGAGAAGCCGGGUUGAGCCCACUACCAUCAUUCACGUACCACGAGGAAGAUGCGGGAGAGAAAUGAUCCUACCAUUAAAGAGACUGUGAAAAGAGCGUUGAGAACAUCGCCACUCUACAGGAAGACACAGUCCAGUAAUGGGUGUCAGAAGUUCAGUAGUGAACGACAGGAAGGACUGAUGCAUGUACUGAGACGGGACGUGAGGGCCUACUCUGCGUGCUCAGAGUUCAAGCCCAGCAGGGUGCAGCGGGCCUGACAUAUUCCGGAACAGCAGCACAGUCUUUGGAUGACUCCUCUGAAGAUGAAAACAUGGCGAGUUCUUCUCAAGAGAAGCAGUACAGGUGUGCCUCAGCUCCACGGUCCCUCCUGCAGCCUCCGCUCCUGAUGCUAACCUCAUGUCUCCAUCACACCAAGCAGCAGACCUGGAGUGACAGACCUUUCUCCAGAGCUGCUCCCUCCCUCUGAAACCCCCCCUCUCCAAAACACUAUUUGUGGCGUUUUUAAAGUCUUAUUUGCAUGAGAAUUGUUGAUCAUAACAUUUCCAGCAGAUGCCUUAAUGUAAUGUUUGUGAACAAUAAAUGACAUUGAUCAUAACA